rnacentral:lncRNA from 1 species
AACGGAGCAUUGUUAUAAGUGGCAGGCUCAGUUUGCUCAUAGUUGUCUCUUUCAUCAGCAAAGUUGUCAUAGGCAUCAGGUCCACCAACAAUGGCACCAGUAAGGAGAUUAGGGUCGCUCGCCUUUCUGCUAUACCAGGUGGCAUAUCCUCCACGGCAGGUAACAAAAGUUGGAUUAACCUUAAUAGAAACAAUGGAAGAACGAGGAGAUUAGGAUCGCUCGCCUUUCUGCUAUACCAGGUGGCAUAUCCUCCACGGCAGGUAACAAAAGUUGGAUUAACCUUAAUAGAUACAAUGGAAGAACCUCUGUGGUGUACUUGUCUUGGGUAAUUGCUUCCAUAUCCCACCAUGUAACUUGUCGCUCUCGGAUUAUCUCCAAGAAUGUAGUCCACCUAAAACAUGCAGGAGUUAGUCUAUGUAAAUCCAAUAUUUUGAGGCUUCCAAUUGUGCAUUUAUCUUAUAUAGUAUAUACUAUGAUAGCUGUUGUCGCAAGUAACAUGCCUUAUCUUACAGGUUAACUGAUCUAACCUUUUUUGGCAGAUACAUGUUGCUAUCAUUUAGAUAACUUACAAUUUCAGUAUAUGUAUAAGUUAAACUCGUUAAUUAUCUAUUCAAAUUAGUAUCUUUACCUG